rnacentral:lncRNA from 1 species
UCCAGUAAGACAGUAGACUUUCGUGCUCUUUCUAUCUAUUUACAAUGACUGAGAGUCGCUCAAGCGAGCAGGCACGUAUAGGGCAGCGCCUUCUACCUUCCGAAAAUAGGAAAAGACCAGUCCUUCUACAUCUCAAGGGCAUGCCCUAUAGACCUAGUCUAUCGGCUAUAGCUGCAGCUAUGACUGACCAAUAAAUUGAAAGCUCUAACUAAAAAAGAAGUCCCAGGGCUUAUUCCCUUUUCAAGGUCUUGUAGCCAGACUGAUCCAGUCAUCUAUAUCUCGUUUCGCCCCUUUGGCUCUCUUGCUUAGUAUCCCAGUCCAAGAUCUUAUUGAAAGAGCCACAGCUUCUUCAAAUUCAAUAGCAAAGGAUAUUCACCCGGCUACUCAAUCUUCUCUCUUUCACUCCUUCAAGGCCUCUUUCAAGCUAAGAAGACUCCUUUCAAGGUUAUCCUUAUUCUUAUCUGCAGAUCGGAGUCGUUCACUUCUCUGUCGAAAGAGCGUAUUCUUUUAUUGCAGCUAAUUACAAAUCUCAAUCAGUCUUGUCUGUACACCAAUCCCAAUGGCUAAUUCGGCUCUUAAGCCUGGAACUCAAUCAAAAAUAAAUUAUCUUUUGUCGAAAUAAACUCUCCCCCGCCCAAUCUUUACAUUAGUGGGCGGACACCGCCCCAAUCCUAAAAAAGGAACGAAUCUUUCAAUUGCAGUCGACCACAAGAUAAAGAAAGCGAUUGAAGCAAGCAUGAGUAGUAUCCCCCCUCCUUCGUUGUGGGUCCCCCUCCCUUAAUUAUUUAUAAUAUCUCUUUGGCUAUCAACUCAAAGAGUAAAGCGGUGGUAAGAUAUGGAGGUUUUUAUCCCUCUCAGAGCUUUGAACUGACCGGCCUAUGAUAAUUUAGGGGGAAUUUAUAUAAAUAGCUGGUGCGCUUGUUUGCGUCCAAUCCGGAUGUGAAGUCCUUACUUGCAGCCCUAGGUAAGGCGCGGGUUUAGUCUUCCAAGUAAAGGUUACGAAGUAAAUGGACUUAUUUUGAUGGACUUACUUUCACUAUGCAUUCAUUCGUGCACUAUCUAAGAUCCGAUUCUCUAGCAACCUAUUUUUAAUAUUGAUUCAUCUUCCCAUCCUCUUCUUUCUAUCUCCGUAGUCAGUCUGGCUGCAUACUCCUUCUGGAUGAGUUCUGUGGCAAGCUGACGGAUUCUGCAACUUCUUAUCUUCCGAAAUAAGUUUUUAUUCUAAGAGCGGAUAUUUCAAAGAGAGCACCGGAUCUUGCAUGAAUGUGCACAUCCGAUUUGUUCACAUCUUGAAUAUGACCCUUUGCCAUAGACCAAUUGCCAGAGAUUGGCUAGCAUGAGGACAGAAAGGCUAAAAAGAGGUGGGACCUAGUUGAUUCUGCACUCCCUACCUUAAGAGGGGCAUAGCGUUUGCUAAAGGAAUGCUUACCGAGAAGCUUCCCUGGUCACGAGCGAAGGGGGAAAAGAAAUAGACUAUAAAGCACAGACAGCAUACGAGAUAAAGAUCUGAUUUGCUGGAACUGGAAAGAAAGAUCCUCUUUGCGGAAUCAAAGAGAAGAGCGGGGAAGACGGGAUAUUAGUUAAAAGAAAGAAGGUAUGAAAUCCUUAGCUCCACCACGUGUUAAGCAUACGAGAAUUGAGACUGCUACCAGCCCCGGGAAUUCCAUAGCUGUUAGCUCUGACCCCAUCCAAGGUACCUUGAAAUGACUAGGAGCUCGCAUGAACCCAUAUCAACCCAUCUUCAAUCAAGAGAACCGGAACUAGCUGGAAG